rnacentral:lncRNA from 1 species
AAAGGAGGAAAGGAAAAAAAAACAAGAACCCUAGGUGGGAAAAUUGAAGAAAAAGUGUGGGAUUUAAAGGGAUUAAGCUAAUAAAGGUAAAAUUUCUUGAUUUUGACUUGUGAUUUACACUACCCAUGCUUUCUUUUUCAUUUUCCAUGGUUAUUUUUCAUAUUUGCAUGGUGAAUUCAUGGUUGGUUGGAAUGGGUAUGGAGAGAGAAUGAAGUUGGAUUGAUUUGAUUCUAAGUUAUGUUAGUGUUUUUAGUUAGUUUAUCAUGUCUAGAAACAAACCAACAAGAAAAAUUCAUUUUCUCCCAUUACCCAUCAUUGGCCGAAUUUUCUAGGGAGGAUAUUGUGGCUGAAAUUGAUGAUAUUUUAUGAUAUUUUGGUGAUAUUUGAUGUUUGGUGAGGCUAGAAAUUAAAUGGGAAAUUUUGGUGUGAAAAUAUGAAUUUUUGCUUAGCGUAUAGACAUGUGUGAUUAUUGACUCGGGACUGAUAAAUUGAAUCUCAUUCAUGGUCACUGAGGUAAUUUAGGUAUAAUUAGAGUGUGGAAAGUGAGAAGAAUUGAUUUGGAGUUAAAUUAGAGAUUUUACCCGAUUAGGCUGAGUAUAGUGUGACUUUGGUCGAAUAUCACAUUUAAGUGAUUAAUUAGACAUUUUGCAUCCCAUUGCAUGCAUUCAUUUAAAUUUAGAGAGCCUGAAAUAGUUUAUAAUAAAUUGACACAAUUUAUUGAAAUUCGUGUCACGUAUGAUGUAUAGGUGGUGAGCCCUCUAACAAGGGUAAAGAGACUGUGCUUGAAGAUCGGGAAUAAGAGUAUAUCGAACUCCUAGUACUAUGAGUAACCUUAUCAUCAUUUUAAUUAUCUAAAGUAUGUUUUAAUUCGGUUUUGGUGAAAUUUUAUGAAAAUGAGUUAAAUGGCAAAUUUUAGGUUUUAUAAACAAAAAUGAGUUUAAAUAAAAAGAUUUUAUAAAUUGUUUUGGAGACUGAAUGAUGAUUUUGAAAAUAGAGUAAUUGGAGACCACUGAUAUGUUGUAAAUUUAAGAUUGAAUUGAUGGCUUAUGUUAUUGUGUUGGCAUGACUGGCUGGGCUGUGUUUUAUUUUACCCUUGCAGGCUGGGUAGUAAUAUAUUAGCCUUGUCAAGCUAUCAAAAUUUUAUUGUAUGGUGGGUUUAGCUUACUGCAAUAGGCGGGUUUCCGUGGACUAGCCUAUUAAAGGGGCAUGGUAAACCUCGUCAUAUUUUACCUCGAUUGGAGAGGUGAGUAGGGUAACUCUCGAGGUAUGAUUUUACAGUUCACUUCAAGCCAAACCACCACAUGAAGUUGAGCUCAGCCAACGCCAAGGAAAAGCUAUAUUUUCAAAAUGAAAACAUGUUUUAUGCAUACAUGAUUUUUUAAUAGCCUUGGCGGACUCAGUUGAGAUAGCCCUCGGCCAAGGUAUCCCAGAUAACUGAGUAUGAUAAUAAUUUUUUGCAUGGGCCAAGCUUUUUAAGAAAUUCAUAAGCCAUACUGAUUACUUGAUUUAAAUAAAUUGAUUUCAUUUGGUUGAAAUAAGUUGAAAAAUGAUAAAUUACAGUUUGAUGAAAUGUUUUAAUAGUCUCCUUUUACUCGCCUUUAGAUAUUUUAAAUGAUAUUUGUUUACUCACUAGGAUUUUAUAAUCUCACCACCCUCCUUUCCAACCAUUUUAGGCAUCAGGAUAGUCGGUAAAUAGCUCAUUUCAUCGAGGACUACAAUUGGAUUAGCAUCCUCAAAAUAUGUAGGUUCAAUUCUUUUGACACUUUUAGUCGUUCGUGGGCCCAUGUGUCACUGUAAAUUUAAUUUUAUACAUUGGUUAUCUAUAUUAUCAUAUAUAUGAAUUUAUUUUGCUUUUUCCUGUACAAAAUUAUUUACGCAG